GGCGUGGAUCACUAAGGUCUGUUCCCAUUACGAGAAGACUAUUUGACAUCAUAAUAAAACACUGCAGAUACGAUGCUGAGUGAAAAAGAGUAGAAAUGGGAAGACUUGGUUGUGCAGAAACUGAGUUCUUAAAGAGAGGAGAUACUUUAUGAGGGCUGGACCAGGUGCACUGAGCAAUCUGGGCGGGCCAAUACUGAGUUCUUGAAAAGAGGAGAUGCUUGAUGAGGAUGGGAUCAUCUAGUUGAAGGAAAACAAGGCUCGGGGUGCCUACUGAUUCUACAUUACACUUGGUCCGGAGAGCUGCCUUGGACUCUCCAAUGAAUUCAAACAGCUGCCUCUGUUACCUUGACUCGUCUCAGAUUUCCUUGACCCGAGAUGGGUUCUGGCACUAGGAGUGUAAGACUGUCUCCAUUCUUUUGGCUUGUUCCAGUUUAAAGAGAAGCCCAUGCAAGGUUCCUACUGACCAUAUGUUUCUUUCUUUUCUUUUGUUUUUUGAGACGGAGUUUCGCUCUUAUUGCCCAGGCUGGAGUGCAAUGGUGCGAUCUCGGCUCACUGCAACCUCUGCCUCCGGGACUCAAGCGAUUCUCCUGCCUCAGCCUCCUGAUUAGCUGGGAUUACAGGCAUGCGUCACCACGCCCGGCUAAUUUUGUAUUUCUAGUAGAGUUAGGGUUUCUCCAUGUUGGUCAGGCUGGUCUCGAACUCUCGACCCCAGGUGAUCUGCCCUCCUUGGCCUCCCAAAGUGCUGGGAUUACAGGCGUGAGCCACCCCACCCGGUCUUGACCAUAUGAGUCAUUUCUAGCUUUGAUGUCUGGGCACCGAUUUCCCUCGGUUAAACUAUUUGCUCAAUGUUAAGGCCACUCUGUAGAAAUUUGUCUGUGUAACUGAGGUGCUAUGCAGGCCUGCCUGUGUGACUAUCAUGCAGGCCUAUCUGUUGUGAUUGUCAGGGAGAAUUGGUCUGCCACAAUCCUUUUCUAAGCAUAGCCAGUAGAGGUAGUUAGGGAUAAUUUGUAUAUUACAGAAAUUGCCUUACAGAGAGUAACACAUUUCUGUACUCUCCUUCCAUAACAGACACUUAAAAAAAAAAAAAGUAAUGUAUGCUUGCUGUGGACCUCAUUUAAGAUUGCAACAGAAGCACUUUUCAAUACUGUUAAACAGCUUUUUACUUUCCA